rnacentral:sRNA from 1 species
AUAUGGUUGAACUGAACGAAUCUAGGGACCUGACCAACGAGAAGACAACUUGCCAUGAAAUAU